AGUCGACGGUACAGGAAGCAGCUUGCUGUUUUGCUGACGAGUGGCGGACGGGUGAGUAAUGUCUGGGAAACUGCCUGAUGGAGGGGGAUAACUACUGGAAACGGUAGCUAAUACCGCAUAACGUCGCAAGACCAAAGAGGGGGACCUUAGGGCCUCUUGCCAUCGGAUGUGCCCAGAUGGGAUUAGCUAGUAGGUGGGGUAACGGCUCACCUAGGCGACGAUCCCUAGCUGGUCUGAGAGGAUGACCAGCCACACUGGAACUGAGACACGGUCCAGACUCCUACGGGAGGCAGCAGUGGGGAAUAUUGCACAAUGGGCGCAAGCCUGAUGCAGCCAUGCCGCGUGUAUGAAGAAGGCCUUCGGGUUGUAAAGUACUUUCAGCGGGGAGGAAGGGAGUAAAGUUAAUACCUUUGCUCAUUGACGUUACCCGCAGAAGAAGCACCGGCUAACUCCGUGCCAGCAGCCGCGGUAAUACGGAGGGUGCAAGCGUUAAUCGGAAUUACUGGGCGUAAAGCGCACGCAGGCGGUUUGUUAAGUCAGAUGUGAAAUCCCCGGGCUCAACCUGGGAACUGCAUCUGAUACUGGCAAGCUUGAGUCUCGUAGAGGGGGGUAGAAUUCCAGGUGUAGCGGUGAAAUGCGUAGAGAUCUGGAGGAAUACCGGUGGCGAAGGCGGCCCCCUGGACGAAGACUGACGCUC
rnacentral:rRNA from 1 species